GACGAACGCUGGCGGCGUGCUUAACACAUGCAAGUCGAACGGAAAGGCCCUGCUUUUGUGGGGUGCUCGAGUGGCGAACGGGUGAGUAACACGUGAGUAACCUGCCCUUGACUUUGGGAUAACUUCAGGAAACUGGGGCUAAUACCGGAUAGGAGCUCCUGCUGCAUGGUGGGGGUUGGAAAGUUUCGGCGGUUGGGGAUGGACUCGCGGCUUAUCAGCUUGUUGGUGGGGUAGUGGCUUACCACGGCUUUGACGGGUAGCCGGCCUGAGAGGGUGACCGGCCACAUUGGGACUGAGAUACGGACCAGACUCCUACGGGAGGCAGCAGUGGGGAAUAUUGCACAAUGGGCGGAAGCCUGAUGCAGCAACGCCGCGUGCGGGAUGACGGCCUUCGGGUUGUAAACCGCUUUCGCCUGUGACGAAGCGUGAGUGACGGUAAUGGGUAAAGAAGCACCGGCUAACUACGUG
rnacentral:rRNA from 1 species